GCACAUCAGACUUCCCAUAUUAGCUAAUUACUUUUUUUGCAGAGGGUCCUUCUGUUUUUUUAUUCCCUGGCAGAAGGGAGUCAUUUGAGAUGUCCACAAGUAUGCCUUGGGGAAAAGGAAGAUCAGCAAAGACCUGAAACAAUUCUGCUGCUCUUACAGCUGAGAAAGGAUCAUGCUGGAAGGUUUCUGUGCUAAAGUAAUUUUCUCUCAAUACAGCUGCUGAUACAGCUGGAAAAAGUGAGCUUGCUCUCCAAAAGCUCAUCUGCCACUCCAGCGAAGGGCAAUGUCCCCCAGCAGAGCUCGGGGUGUUUGGCUGCCCCAGCUCCAGCAAUUUUUGUUUCUCCGGCCGUGAUGCCUUGCAUUGGAACUCAGAAAGAAAAAGACUCCAGGAUGGAAACUUUCCAGCCUUAAGGAUAAAGCUGGACAGAAUACGGAGAAAGGCAGCUAAUUCAAGGUGAAAAAAAGCAGGUUGAAGAUGAGCGAU